rnacentral:rRNA from 1 species
UGUGAGCUCGAUGAGUAGGGCGGGACACGUGGUAUCCUGUCUGAAUAUGGGGGGACCAUCCUCCAAGGCUAAAUACUCCUGACUGACCGAUAGUGAACCAGUACCGUGAGGGAAAGGCGAAAAGAACCCCGGCGAGGGGAGUGAAAAAGAACCUGAAACCGUGUACGUACAAGCAGUGGGAGCACAGAGCAAUCUGUGUGACUGCGUACCUUUUGUAUAAUGGGUCAGCGACUUAUAUUCUGUAGCAAGGUUAACCGAAUAGGGGAGCCGAAGGGAAACCGAGUCUUAACUGGGCGUUAAGUUGCAGGGUAUAGACCCGAAACCCGGUGAUCUAGCCAUGGGCAGGUUGAAGGUUGGGUAACACUAACUGGAGGACCGAACCGACUAAUGUUGAAAAAUUAGCGGAUGACUUGUGGCUGGGGGUGAAAGGCCAAUCAAACCGGGAGAUAGCUGGUUCUCCCCGAAAGCUAUUUAGGUAGCGCCUCGUGAAUUCAUCUCCGGGGGUAGAGCACUGUUUCGGCAAGGGGGUCAUCCCGACUUACCAACCCGAUGCAAACUGCGAAUACCGGAGAAUGUUAUCACGGGAGACACACGGCGGGUGCUAACGUCCGUCGUGAAGAGGGAAACAACCCAGACCGCCAGCUAAGGUCCCAAAGUCAUGGUUAAGUGGGAAACGAUGUGGGAAGGCCCAGACAGCCAGGAUGUUGGCUUAGAAGCAGCCAUCAUUUAAAGAAAGCGUAAUAGCUCACUGGUCGAGUCGGCCUGCGCGGAAGAUGUAACGGGGCUAAACCAUGCACCGAAGCUGCGGCAGCGACGCUUAUGCGUUGUUGGGUAGGGGAGCGUUCUGUAAGCCUGCGAAGGUGUGCUGUGAGGCAUGCUGGAGGUAUCAGAAGUGCGAAUGCUGACAUAAGUAACGAUAAAGCGGGUGAAAAGCCCGCUCGCCGGAAGACCAAGGGUUCCUGUCCAACGUUAAUCGGGGCAGGGUGAGUCGACCCCUAAGGCGAGGCCGAAAGGCGUAGUCGAUGGGAAACAGGUUAAUAUUCCUGUACUUGGUGUUACUGCGAAGGGGGGACGGAGAAGGCUAUGUUGGCCGGGCGACGGUUGUCCCGGUUUAAGCGUGUAGGCUGGUUUUCCAGGCAAAUCCGGAAAAUCAAGGCUGAGGCGUGAUGACGAGGCACUACGGUGCUGAAGCAACAAAUGCCCUGCUUCCAGGAAAAGCCUCUAAGCAUCAGGUAACAUCAAAUCGUACCCCAAACCGACACAGGUGGUCAGGUAGAGAAUACCAAGGCGCUUGAGAGAACUCGGGUGAAGGAACUAGGCAAAAUGGUGCCGUAACUUCGGGAGAAGGCACGCUGAUAUGUAGGUGAAGUCCCUCGCGGAUGGAGCUGAAAUCAGUCGAAGAUACCAGCUGGCUGCAACUGUUUAUUAAAAACACAGCACUGUGCAAACACGAAAGUGGACGUAUACGGUGUGACGCCUGCCCGGUGCCGGAAGGUUAAUUGAUGGGGUUAGCGCAAGCGAAGCUCUUGAUCGAAGCCCCGGUAAACGGCGGCCGUAACUAUAACGGUCCUAAGGUAGCGAAAUUCCUUGUCGGGUAAGUUCCGACCUGCACGAAUGGCGUAAUGAUGGCCAGGCUGUCUCCACCCGAGACUCAGUGAAAUUGAACUCGCUGUGAAGAUGCAGUGUACCCGCGGCAAGACGGAAAGACCCCGUGAACCUUUACUAUAGCUUGACACUGAACAUUGAGCCUUGAUGUGUAGGAUAGGUGGGAGGCUUUGAAGUGUGGACGCCAGUCUGCAUGGAGCCGACCUUGAAAUACCACCCUUUAAUGUUUGAUGUUCUAACGUUGACCCGUGAUCCGGGUUGCGGACAGUGUCUGGUGGGUAGUUUGACUGGGGCGGUCUCCUCCUAAAGAGUAACGGAGGAGCACGAAGGUUGGCUAAUCCUGGUCGGACAUCAGGAGGUUAGUGCAAUGGCAUAAGCCAGCUUGACUGCGAGCGUGACGGCGCGAGCAGGUGCGAAAGCAGGUCAUAGUGAUCCGGUGGUUCUGAAUGGAAGGGCCAUCGCUCAACGGAUAAAAGGUACUCCGGGGAUAACAGGCUGAUACCGCCCAAGAGUUCAUAUCGACGGCGGUGUUUGGCACCUCGAUGUCGGCUCAUCACAUCCUGGGGCUGAAGUAGGUCCCAAGGGUAUGGCUGUUCGCCAUUUAAAGUGGUACGCGAGCUGGGUUUAGAACGUCGUGAGACAGUUCGGUCCCUAUCUGCCGUGGGCGCUGGAGAACUGAGGGGGGCUGCUCCUAGUACGAGAGGACCGGAGUGGACGCAUCACUGGUGUUCGGGUUGUCAUGCCAAUGGCACUGCCCGGUAGCUAAAUGCGGAAGAGAUAAGUGCUGAAAGCAUCUAAGCACGAAACUUGCCCCGAGAUGAGUUCUCCCUGACUCCUUGA